CUACCGGGGUAUCUAAUCCUGUUUGCUCCCCACGCUUUCGCACCUCAGUGUCAGUAUCAGUCCAGGUGGUCGCCUUCGCCACUGGUGUUCCUUCCUAUAUCUACGCAUUUCACCGCUACACAGGAAAUUCCACCACCCUCUACCGUACUCUAGCUCGCCAGUUUUGGAUGCAGUUCCCAGGUUGAGCCCGGGGCUUUCACAUCCAACUUAACGAACCACCUACGCGCGCUUUACGCCCAGUAAUUCCGAUUAACGCUUGCACCCUCUGUAUUACCGCGGCUGCUGGCAC
rnacentral:rRNA from 1 species